CGAACCCACAAACCUGGCGUUGCAAGCGCCAUGCUCUACCAACUGAGCUACAGGGGACUUACAUAAUGGAUAGGAGGGUGACCAAGACAUCUGUCGUCGACCUGCCAUUUUUGCAUCCAAGCUGUCUUGGGUCAAGCUUGUGGCCAAUGACUUCCAGCAUCCAAUCGGUGGCAAAACUCUCAUCCACCUUAGCUCCGGUAUUCCAGAAUUGUUCCAGUGUUCUACAUCUGUAAUGCCUGUAGAACCAUUCAGACUAUGUUCAUGGUGUUUCUUAAUUAUGUUUCUUAAUUAUAUUUUCUGUCUCCGAGACACCCAAGUUCCGGCCGAGAAAUGAGAACUAUAAACAGUGGAGGUUCCAUUUCUCAUGCUGGCAGUCUAUUGAAAAAAAGAUAACUGCAUGGUGUAAGGAGAGUGAGGAGAAGUAUGGCCAUUCACCUCAUGUGCAGGUCAAGUGGCCUUCUCUGUUGGCAAUGGCAUCAUGGAUUCCCUCUUCCCUCCUUCUCGGCGCUGGAACAACAACUCUGUGUUCCGGGCCAGACUGGGAAGUUUCUCUGGACUCCACAGGUAAAUUGUGGGAAAGUUAUUGGUUGGCCACACUCCAGGUGGCCGGGGGAUCAGAUGCAGUGGUAGGUACAGUUGGUCUCAUUCUGCCCCGCCGGUCCGCACUCUAGGAGCAGCCCCCCUCAACUGGAAAAGAGUUCAGGACCAGACACACUGUGAUCUUGGAAAUCAAGGCACUUUACUAAAACAUUAUUAAUUUUAGUGAGUGAGAACUAUCAUAGUUUUAGUAAGUGAGACACUUCUUUUGCUGUGAGCACUGACCUGUGUGUUUCUCCUCAGCAUCAGGAGGCAGCAGGUGGUUUAUACAGGCGAUGGUCUGGCUGGGAGCCUUUUCUACAGGGGCUGGGCAGGGUGGUCUGGCUGGGAGCCACUUCUACAGGGGCUGGGCAGGGUGGUCUGGCUGGGAGCCGCUUCUACAGGGGCUGGGCAGGGUGGUCUGGCUGGGAGCCGCUUCUACAGGGGCUGGGCAGGGAGCCUCCUGAUCUAGUCCCAGCUGGAGACGCCUCAUGUGACGGACCACCGCUGUGGCAUUAAACGUUUGCUGCAUGACCAAACAUAAUCCCAUCAGAGACGUAUGCAUGAAUAAACCCCUUGUAAAGGGACCCUUAUUGUAAAAUUCUAUUUUGCACCAUAAAGCUCACAAAAUGUUACAUGAAGUCAUAAUAGUUGAUGGUAGGACAGCAUAAUAAGAAUAACCCACCCUCCAUUUGCUCUUGGGGAGCUCUGUUGGGGGGGCACAAGAAUAUGUGCAAGAAGGUGUGCGUGUGUGUGAGUUCAUGCAUGCGGGUGCACUGUACCAGGGGUGCUGAAGAGCCUCGUCACAUGUGUAGCGUACCCUUGGGUCCUUCUCUAUCAGGUGGACUAUAAGGUCUUUAGCUAAAAAAACACCACAGGGACACACGAUUUAUGUCACUCUCAUCUGAGAGUGGAGGACCUGAGUCGAAGAUAUCGUCAAGAAAGGGGGUGGAGAGAGAGGAACAUGUGAAAUGUCAAAAUAAUGACAGACGAAUACUGCCAGUUAAACAAGAUGUAAAAGACUGAAGACUGGAAAUACUUAAACCAGGAGUAUUAUGUAUUAAGUAUUAUUUGAUGUAUUAUUAUAUUUUUUGAUAAUUACAUAUCGGGAUAUUAUUUUUGAUGAUAUAUCGUAUAGUUUUGAAAAUAUUGCAAUAUCAUUUUUGCGCUAGUUUGCUGUACUUACACCAAAACUCCAGUAUUUUUCCUUCAUAGCUUGUUGUCCAUCUUGUUUUUAAAUAGGGAGCCAAUUUGU